AUACGUAGGGUGCGAGCGUUGUCCGGAAUUACUGGGCGUAAAGAGCUCGUAGGUGGUUUGUCGCGUCGUCUGUGAAAUUCCGGGGCUUAACUCCGGGCGUGCAGGCGAUACGGGCAUAACUUGAGUACUGUAGGGGAGACUGGAAUUCCUGGUGUAGCGGUGAAAUGCGCAGAUAUCAGGAGGAACACCGGUGGCGAAGGCGGGUCUCUGGGCAGUAACUGACGCUGAGGAGCGAAAGCAUGGGUAGCGAACAGGAUUAGAUACCCUGUUAGUCCAUGCCGUAAACGGUGGGCGCUAGGUGUAGGGGUCUUCCACGACUUCUGUGCCGUAGCUAACGCAUUAAGCGCCCCGCCUGGGGAGUACGGCCGCAAGGCUAAAACUCAAAUGAAUUGACGGGG
rnacentral:rRNA from 1 species